UACGUAGGGUGCAAGCGUUGUCCGGAAUUAUUGGGCGUAAAGAGCGUGUAGGCGGCCCGAUUAGUCCGCUGUGAAAGUCCAGGGCUCAACCCUGGAAUGCCGGUGGAUACUGUCGGGCUAGAGUCCGGAAGGGGCGAGUGGAAUUCCUGGUGUAGCGGUGAAAUGCGCAGAUAUCAGGAGGAACACCAAUGGCGAAGGCAGCUCGCUGGGACGUGACUGACGCUGAGGCGCGAAAGCGUGGGGAGCGAACAGG
rnacentral:rRNA from 1 species